rnacentral:rRNA from 1 species
CUUUAUCCCCAGGCCCGAUCCACCUCUGUCGCCGCACCAGGCCACACACCCACCGCACUCCACCGCCCCGCGCCGCCAUCCGCCUGGCCGCCGCCGCCGCCCCCGUGCCGCCAUCCACCUGGCCGCCGCCGCCCCCGUGCCACCAUCCACCUGGCCGCCGCCGCCACCACACCGACAUCCAACCGCGCUGCCGCCGGAGUCCGGACCACCAACCGUGCCGCCGCCAGAGUCCCGACCUUCAAGCGCGCCGCCGCCGAGCCCAGACCACCAAUGGUGGCACCGCCGGAGACCCAACCUCCAACCUCAACGCCACCAGGCCCCGAUAACAAAAGCGUGCCAUCACCACGCCCACGACCCGCGUCGCCGGCGCCCCUCCUCCGCGGCCGGCGCUCUCCCAACCCAUGGUCGACACCCAUCCUCUUCUGCGACCAACGCCCUCCCUCCCCGCGGCCGGCGCGCUCCUUCCCCGCGGCCGACGGGCCUCCAGCUCUGUGGCCGGCGCAGUCCCUCCUCGCUGCAGCUUGCCCCUCCUCCAUGGAUGGCCUGCACCGGCUGCCGGAACUCGUUGAGGUGGUACCCUUAACCCUCGACCUUCAAUUACAGGUCACUAACGACACUACAAAGAGAAAGGGCCCUGCGAAGUUCAGUUUUUUGAUUUUCUGAAGUUUAGUUUGUUGAUUUUCUGAAGAAAUAGGUUCCUUCACUUGCACUCCUCUAACUAGUCCUGUGGGGUGAUCUCCUCGACUCCUAGGUUCGGCACAAAGUAAGAAUUGUAAGCAUCUUCUGAGUUUAUAAUGCUUGAAAUUACAGUACGGGAUUAUAUAACAUUCUAGGUGGAAUUGGUCAAUGUUGUUCCCUAUAGUUGUAUAGUAUCCAGAUCAAUCGUCGAUUCCUAUUCUCUAACUGAUUUUGAUGUCUGAAGUUCAACUGUAUAUGCAGGAGCAAAAAACUGUUGUUUUUGGUUCAUUAGUUUCAGUUUCACAGGUUGGUUUUCUUCUCAUUUUAUCUCCAAAAAUGCAUCAACAAGGAUCGACGGCAGUCCGGGAUCUGCGAAGACGAGGGAUGCUAUUUUGGGUUUGCUUUUGUGAAUCAGCAUCACCGCAUUACACACCACACCGCCCACCAGCAGUACGUGUCUCUCUCCAUUGUCCUUCUCUCUUUAUCCUUUCUCUCUCACUCUCUCACGCGGGACACGGCGCUUCCAUGGCGGCCCCGAGGACGAUGAGAGCCAUGCAGUACGACAAGUAUGGCGGUGGAGCUGAAGGCCUCAAGGUACAUGCUCGUCGCCAUAACGAGCUAUCUCCAAACAGACUUGACAGGCCUCGUGUAAGGUUCAAUGACCGAAAGGUGAGGUUCAGACGCUGCCGCGAUCCGUGCGACGUGUGGCUCGGAGAACUUCUUGCAUUCCUACUAGAGUGAAACCGUUGGUGCUCAGGAUCAUACUUCGGUAGUUCAACCAUGCAUACAACGAGAUGAAAAGGUUGCUAUGAUAUUACUAUAUGCAUCAGCGUCACCUGCCAGAAGUGAUCUGCAAACUCUUGAGACUUGGCCACACAUGGCUGGAUGGCAUCCUUGCAAGCUCUGUAGGCUGUGACGAUCCUGGCAGCUACCGGCUUAGUGCUGUUCUUCAGUGAGUUGAAAUGAAAUUUGGCAACAGGCAACAGUUUCUUCAUGAAGCAAGAGAUGGCGUGUCAGAGUGUUUCACAAAAAGGAGAGGACGAGUGUUGGUUGAGAACAUUAGCCUACAUUUUUUGUUGCCUGCAAGUGUGGUUCCACCUGUCUUUGUGCAUGUGGCAAAGUCUCAGCAACCUGUCCACUUGACUUUGUAAGACAGUGGUGGUUGCAUUUAUAAAUACUAGCAAGGAACACUUGAUAUUUAACUAAG